rnacentral:misc_RNA from 1 species
GAAAUGCGAUAAGUAAUGUGAAUUGCAGAAUUCAGUGAAUCAUCGAAUCUUUGAACGCACCUUGCUCUCCUUGGUAUUCCGAGGAGCAUGCCUGUUUGAGUGUCAUGGAAUUCUCAACUCUAUUUGCUUUUGUGAAUAGAGCUUGGAUUUGGAGGUUUAUUGCUGGUACUUGUGAUCGGCUCCUCUUGAAUGCAUUAGCUCGAACCUUUGCGGAUCAGCUAUCGGUGUGAUAAUUGUCUACGCCGUUGCAGUGAAGCAUAUCAAUGGGCUCGGCUUCCAAUCGUCCUUUACUGGACAAUGACUUUGACCUUUGACCUCAAAUCAGGUAGGAUUACCCGCUGAACUUAAGC